UCAUUCCCCUGCAAUGUCACUGCUCAAUUCACUGUCAUUUAGGCGUUAAAUCACUUUGUUUCUGUUUAUGCAGCCCUAGCCACACCUCCCCUGGCUAUGAUUGACAGAGCCUGCAUGAAAAAAAAAAAACUGGUUUCACUUUCCAACAGAUGUAAUUUACCUUAAAUAAUUGUAUCUCAAUCUCUAAAUUGAACUUUAAUCACAUACAGGAGGCUCUUGCAGGGUCUAGCAAGCUAUUAAC